rnacentral:lncRNA from 1 species
CAAUUUCUGUGGGACUCACUAGUCACUAUGUGUUUUGUGUCACACCUACCUGGUAGGUACCCUGCCACCCUGGAGGAUACCUACCUAGAGAUCUGCUAGAGGCUUCUGGUUCUAUUCAUGGGCUUGAAGAAAGCAAUCCAGCAACAAGAACUGCUCAGGAGAUAGCCCUGGCACCAAUCCCUGACAUCCUAGGGGCGACUACACAGUAAUUCUCAUUCUAAAUGCAUCAGGAAGCUCUCCGUCAUACUUCUUUCAAGGUCUUCAGGGCUUCAGCUGCCCCAGAAAGAGGAACAAAAAAGCACACUGAAAACAUUGAAAGAGAGGACUGGAGGAGAAAGAUGAAAGGAGAUGAGUAGGUGUGGGAAAAAGAGACAGAACAAGCACAGCUGUAGAGUCAGAACAGACUACAUAUUUAUUUUCUUUAAAAAGGCAUGUAAAGCUCCUCUGGGAAAGCACUGUCCACUGCCCAAGACAGCAUGCUAG